rnacentral:rRNA from 1 species
GAUGAACGCUAGCGAUAGGCUUAACACAUGCAAGUCGAGGGGCAGCACAAGGUAGCUUGCUAUCUGGGUGGCGACCGGCGCACGGGUGCGUAACGCGUAUGCAACUUGCCCUAUACAGGGGGAUAACCCGUCGAAAGACGGACUAAUACUGCGUAUGCUCACAACUUGGCAUCAAGUGGUGAGGAAAGAAAUUCGGUAUAGGAUAGGCAUGCGUCCCAUUAGCUUGUUGGUGAGGUAACGGCUCACCAAGGCAACGAUGGGUAGGGGAACUGAGAGGUUUAUCCCCCACACUGGUACUGAGACACGGACCAGACUCCUACGGGAGGCAGCAGUGAGGAAUAUUGGUCAAUGGGCGCGAGCCUGAACCAGCCAAGUCGCGUGAAGGAUGACUGUCUUAUGGAUUGUAAACUUCUUUUAGACGGGAAUAACAAGAGUCACGUGUGACUCCCUGCAUGUACCGUAUGAAUAAGCAUCGGCUAACUCCGUG